UUUUCUUGGCAUAAACAGGGAAUUCAUAAACAGACGAGGAAGUUAGUUUCACUUGUUGUUCCAAUAGGGUCGGAAGCGUGUAAAUUAUUGUACUAAAAAAUCACACAAAGUUCAAUUCCCAGGGAAGAGAGGUGGAUCACAUGGAUCUCUUAAAUACCAAGUCUUUCCUUAGACAGAAUAUCCCUUCUAUAGUAAUUUAAUAGCACAAUUAAAUACUACUAUUAUACCCUCAAAUAUUGAAAGAAAAAUAGGACAAGAAAGAACACAAGAGUUUUAACGAGGUUCGGUAAAUUAUACCUACGUCCUCGGGCACUAACACCAGAUGAUAACUUUACUAUCUUCAAAGUAUUACAAACAAAUAGAAUUCCUUAAGAAUUCUCAAAUGGGAGAAAAAGAAAACUAAGAGAGAAAGAUUGGUUGGGAUGAAUUGAAAUGAGAAAUGAGAAGGCCUAUUUAUAGUUGAGGUUUAAGGACCAAACAAUAAAUAGCCAAUUAUCUCAAGGACCAAAAAAAAAUUAUCCCUUGCCACUUUUCCAAAGUUGGUGGUUGUCAUUAUUGAUUGUCUCCCAUUAAUGUUAAUGGCAACCAUUAUUAAUUGUCUUCCAUUAAUGUUAACAAUCUCCACCUUGAAGAUUUGAUUAGGAUAAUCACAUCUUCACACACUUCCUUCAACUCCCCAAAUUCGAUAAAGCUAUCUUUUGUAGUGCCUACAAAUGCGCUCUCGAGCACCAUACACCUGAAGGUGCUCAAAUUCUCAGGAUAUUAAUCAAGUUCAAACAAUGAUUAAACUUGAUUGUUGUUACCACCUUGGUCAUUAUAUCUGCGGGAUUAUCUGCUGUCGGAAUCUUCUGAAGUAGAAUUUUUCCUUUUUCAAAGACUUCCUGCACAAAGUGAUAUCUUACGUCGAUAUGCUUGGUUCUUGAAUGAUAGACUUGAUUUUUCGCUAAACGAAUAGCGCUCUGACUGUCACAAUAUAAACUUAUGUGACUUUGAACAACUCCUAAGUCUUUCAACAAUCCAUUAAGUCAAAUAGCCUCCUUAACAGCUUCUGUAACUGCCAUAUAUUCUGCCUCUGUAGUAGACACAGCUACUGUAGACUGUAAGGUAGACUUCCAACUCACUGGGGCUUUCGCAAGAGUAAACAGAUACCCCGUAGUUGAACGACGUUUAUCUAAAUCACCAGCAAAGUCGGAAUCAACAUAUCCAACUACAAACUGACCAAGUGCUUCAUCCUGUUCAAAAAUUAAACCAACAUCUACGGUUUUUCGAAGAUACCGUAGAAUCCAUUUCACAGCUUGCCAAUGUCCUUUUCCAGGAUCAUGCAUAUACCUGCUCACAACUCCAACAGCUUGUGAAAUGUCAGGCCUCGUACACACCAUCGCAUACAUCAAACUCCCAACUGCAUUAGCAUAUGGGACUUUCGCCAUAUAUUCUCUUUCUUCUUCAGUUUUCGGAGAUAAUUGAGCACUAAGUUUCAAAUGAGAAGCAAGUGGGGUACUUACAUGUUUUGUGUUUUCAUUUACACCAAAACAUUGUAAUACCUUUUUCAGAUAUUGCUUCUGAUUCAAACAAAGCUUGCCUCUCUGUCUAUCUCUACUUAUCUCCAUGCCGAGAAUCUUCUUGGCCUCACCUAGAUCUUUCAUCUCGAACUCUUGAUUCAACUGAGCCUUCAACUUAUCUAUCUCUUUUUGGCUCUUCGAAGCGAUUAACAUAUCAUCAACAUACAAGAGUAGAUAAAUGAAAGAUCCGUCAUGCAGCUUCUGCAAAUACACACAAUUGUCAUAUUUGCUUCUUGUGUACUUCUUCCUUCUCAUAAAGCUAUCAAAUCGCUUGUACCACUGCCUCAGGGAUUGCUUCAAUCCAUAUAGCGAUUUGUUUAGCUUACAAACCCAAUUUCUACCACCAGCAUCUGUGUAUCCUUCGGGCUGAGUCAUAUAGAUCUCCUAUUCUAACUCACCAUGCAAGAAAGCCGUCUUAACAUCAAGUUGAGCUAGCUUCAAAUUCAACUGUGCUACCAAGGCCAACAAAAUUCUAAUGGAGGAAUGCUUCACAACAGGGGAAAAUACAUCAUUGUAGUCAAUUCCCUCCUUCUGAGCGUAGCCUUUAGCUACCAAUCUUGCCUUUAAGCGAAUAUCCUUCUUGCUAGGAGAUCCAUCUUUCUUACCCACUUGCAUCCGAUUGCCCUUUUACCUUUCGGUAAUUGCGCCAACUCCCAAGUAUUGUUCUUCCGGAGAGACUGCAUUUCUUCAUCCAUGGCGCUUUUCCAUUUAUCACUUUCUAAGCUUUGCAUUGCUUCUUGAUAAGUGAUAGGAAUAUCAUCAACAACGGGAAGGGCGUAGGCCACCAUAUCAGUAAAUCGAGCAGGUUUACGAAUUUCUCUCCGUGGCCUUGCAACUACAACUGGUUCUGGUGUACUUAGUGGUUCUUGGGUCAGAACCUCUUCAACCUCUAAUUCCUCCAUUGUGGCUGGAGAAUUAGACUUAUUAACUGGGCAAAUCCCCAUCUGCUCAAACUCCACCUGUUUUGGAGUACACUCCACCUGCUAUGGAGUAUCGCUCGUCUGAAUAUCUUUAUCUGCUACCUUUUUCAAUGUGGCAGAUUCAUCAAAGGUAACAUCUCUGCUAUAGAUCAUUUUCUUUGUGCUUAAGCACCAAAGACAAAAUCCCUUCACUCCAGAAGUGAUUCCCAUAAAGAGAGCUUUCUUUGCCCUCGGAUCUAACUUUGACUCCUUCACAUGGUAAUAUGCAGUGGUUCCAAACACAUGUAAGGAAUCAUAAUCUGUAGCCGGUUUUCCAGACCAUACCUCCAUAGGAGUUUUUCUUUCUAAUGCAGAUGAUGGCAAACGAUUAACAAGAUGGCCAGCGUAUGUCACAGCCUCAGCCCAAAAUUGCUUGCCCAACCCAGCAUUGGACAACAUACAUCGAACUUUCUCCAGUAAUGUUCGAUUCAUACGCUCUGCCAAUCCAUUCUGCUGUGGUGUAUCUGUAACAGCCCGAUUCUGGGCCUAGUCGGAAUAGUGGUUUCGGGACCACAAAUCCGACGAGGGAAAAUAUGGUUAUUAUUAUAUUUUUAUGAUCUACAAUUUCACGGAAAAUUUUCGUAAAAAUUUCGUUCGAAAAUUUCGACGUUUGGGCACUCAAUUUAGUCAAAAGGACUAAAUUGUAAAUAGUGCAAAAGUUGAGUUCUACAUCUUAGAGGUGUCUAAUUGUUAUGAAAUUUUAAAUUGGAGGUCUUUAUGUGGUAAUUAGACCAUUAGUUAGUUGAUGGACAAAAAUAGACAUAAGAAAUGGGUGAAAUAGAUUUUUUUUAAAUGGGGGCAUUUUAGUCAUUUGGUUAUUAAAUAGAAUUAAAUGGGAAAAAGAUGGCAAAAUAUGCUCAUCUUCUUCAUGGUGAACGAAAUCAGCAAGGGGGAAGCCAUAUUUAGGGUUUUUAAGCUUUCAAGCUCCAUAGUAAGUGAUUCUAAGCCCCGUUUUUAAUGUUCUUCGUAUUUUUGGAGUCCCGGUAACUUGGUUUAGCUUAUUCUACCAUUAAUUCAUGUUAGGGUUCAUAUUUGGAAAAAUAUCCAUAGGUGAAAUGUGUUUAUUUUGCUGUUUUAUGGUGGAAUAUGAAGCUAGAGAUUAUGUUAAACAACUUUUGCUAAGCAAUUUUAAACGAAAACGGGUAAAUAGACAUAAUCGGUAAAAAUAAUUAAUAUUCAAAAGUAUGUGUUGGAGUGGGAAUUUGAUGUUUCCAUAGAAGGGAAAAAUGUUCAGCAUGUUAUAAAACUUAAGAAUAAGUGAUGAAGUUUAAUUUCCGAGCUUGGGGACAAAAGUGUAAUUAUGCAAAAGUUUGGGGGCAAAAUUGUAAUUUUCAAAAAGUUGGGUGGUGGAUUAUUUUAAUAAAUGUGAAUAUUAAACGAGUUAAAUUUGCUAUUAUAGAUCAAGAAAGACGUGAAGAGUAUAUCAAACGGGGAAAAGAAAAGAUAGGGGAGUAAAGUGCAAAAUUACGAUAUUUUACACCGAGGUAAGUAAACACGUGACUUAAUGUAUUAUUUUGAUAUUAUUUGAUAUAUGUUGAGAUUUAUUUGGAAUUAAAAUAAAUGUUUGGCCAUAUCCUAAAAAUGUUGUUAAAUCGGGAAAGGUGGUAAAGGGUUGCAAUAUAUGGUUUAUGGGUUGAACACUCGGAAUAAGCCGGAGUAUGUUGUAUAUAAAGGGGUUGCUGUGUGCUGAUUCCCCGAUUCAUUGGUGGUGCUAUGUGCGUGAUCCACCAUAUCUUUGAAAUGUGAAAAGGGGGUUGCUAUGUGCUGAUUCCCCCGAGGGGUUGCUAAGUGCUGAUUCCCCGGUUCAUUGGUGGUGCUAAGUGCGAUAUCCACCAUAUCUUUGAAAUGUGAAAGGGGGUUGCUAUGUGCUGAUUCCCCCGAGGGGUUGCUAAGUGCUGAUUCCCCGAUUCAGCGGUGGUGCUAAGUGCGAGAUCCACCAAUAACGGUUAACAUUCCAAGUGUUCAACGAAAAAGUGUGGAAGAUGAAUAUUUCCAUAUGGUGGAAAAUUUUAUGGGGUAAAUAUUGAGUUGAAUACUAAAUCGACCCAUGUAUGAGAUGGGAGAAAAUAUCAAAAACGCAAAAGGAACGAUUUAAUUAUAAACUGUGUUGAACAACAGCAGUUGGGUAACUUUGAAAAAUCACCAUAAAUGGUGGAAAAUGAAUGGGAAGCUGAAUAAUAUAUGAAAUUGAAGCUGAAUGUGUCUAUUUUCAUAUGAAAGAAAUAGAAUAAGCAAAAGAGUUGUAUUUUUGGAGAUAUCUGAAUUUUACUGAAACAGGGCUGGAUUGAUUUCGAGAUCCCCUGUUCUAACUUUGGAAAAUUACCAAAAAUUGAAAAACAAUAAUUAUGGCAUGAAAUUUAUAUCCCUGGAAUCCUUAUUGAGUCUAUUUUUAUUAGAAACAAUAAAACCCAUUUUUCAAAUUUUGUACAGAGAUUUAAGUAAAUUUUAGUGAGGAAGGGUCAGAACCGUUGGGCAGUGAAACAGGGGAAGGUUUAAUGAAUAAACUGUACUAAUUGGCUGGGUUAAAAAUUCUGAAAUUUUUAUGGUGAAAUGAUAUAUGAGUCUAGUUUCAGGGAAAAUUUACGGAACUCAAUUUGGAGCUCUGUAGCUCCAGAUAAAAAUAAAUUAGCGACUAUGACGCAGAAAAACAGCUUGCUGGAAAUUGCCUAAACAAUAAAGUUAUUCAUGAAUAAGUUUAUAUUUUGGUGUAGUUAUGGGAGUAAUUACUUAUUUAUCAUGUGUUUACUUACUAAGCUAUAUGCUUACUCGAUUUUAUUUUUCUCUUGGUUAUAGUGACUUCCAACAACUCGGAAAUUGGAACAAAGUCAGACAAUCAUCUACACUAUCCUUCACAUUUGGGGUAUUUUACUACUAGUGUUCCGAAAUUUUAUGGCAUGUAUAGACACUUUAUGUAAUGUGGGAUCAUCAUGUAAAUAUAUGUUAUGGUUCCCUUUUAAAUGUAGUGUUUAUUAAUAGUUAAACUAUAUGUGUGUUUAUACAAAUGAAAUUGGUUGGUAUAUUGGAAUGUGUUCUAAAUUUGUAAGAGGUUUAAGCAAAAAUAAGUAGGAAUGCUGUCGAAAAUUUUUAAAAAUUUAGUAAUACCUCAUACUCUGUUCCGGUAAGGAAUACGGGUAAGGGGUGUUACAGUAUCCCUAACUGUGAAGUGUCGAACAAUACCAUACUCUUGGCACACAUCGAAGAACGGAUCACUUUUAUAUUCCCCUCCAUUGUUCGUCCUAAGCCGCUUGAUUUUCUUGCCAGUCUGGUUUUCUAUCAUGGUUUUCCAUUUAAGAAAAACUCUAAGCACUUCAUCCUUAGUUCUCAUGGUAUACACCCAAACUCUUCUGGAAAAGUCAUCAACAAAAGUAACAAAGUAGUGUUUUCCUCCCAAUGAAGGUGUCUUGGAAGGCCCCCAUACAUCUGAGUGAACAUAUUCCAAAAUACCUUUUGUAUUAUGGAUAACAGUACCGAAUUUCACUCUCUUUUGCUUUCCCAGAACACAAUGCUCGCAAAAUUUUAAUUUGCAAGCCUUUGCACCUUUCAACAAUCCUUGCUUUGCCAGAAUUUGCAAGGAUUUUUCGCUGGCAUGUCCCAACUUCAUAUGCCACAACUGUAUUGAGUCUAAUUCUUUGUUGCCGGAAGCUACAGCGACUGCUCCAAUAACUAUACUACCUUGGUAGUAAUACAAGUUAUUUUUCCUGAUGCCCUUCAAUAUCACAAGUGCGCCAGAUGUCACUUUCAAAAUCUCAUCUCUCAUAGUAACAACUGAACCAUUGGAUUCUAGGGCUCCCAAUGAGAUGAGAUUUUUCUUCAAACUGGGCACGUACCGAACAUCAGUCAGAACUCUGGUUGAUCCAUCUUUAUUCUUUAAUUUGAUUGAACCUAUCCCAACAGUUUUACAGGCAUUGUCAUUGCCCAUAUAAACAACUCCUCCAUUUAGUUCUACUAAAUCAGAGAACCACUCCCGGUUAGGGGACAUAUGAUAGGUACAACCCGAAUCCAAUAUCCACUCAUCUGAAUGGAACGACGAUGAUGAUGCAACCAGUGAUAGUUCAGAGUCACUGGUAUCAUGCUUUGCAACACAAGCAUCUACAGCAGCUUUUCCCUUAUUCUUCAGCUUUGGACAAUUUUUCUUUCAGUGGCCUUUCUCAUGACAAAAAGCACAUUCAUCUUUCCCGAGUCUGGACUUUGACUUUGAUCUCCCCUUUUGAGUUUUCUUCCGAGUGUAUGAACGACCUCGGACUACUAAAGCUUCUGUAUCUCUGAUUGAGUUUUUCUGUUUGUCCUUCUUUCUCUGUUCAUAACUGUAUAAGGCCGCACAGACUUCGCUCAGAGAUAUAUCACUCCUGCCAUGAAGUAGAGUAGUUUCUAGGAACUCAAACUCCUCAGGAAGUGACCCCAACAGCAUCAAAGCCAAAUCUUCAUCUUUGAAUGUCUCAUCCAUAUUCAGCAAAUCAGUGACUAACUGAUUAAAUUUGGUGAUGUGAUCAUUCAUUGUGGUACUUGGGACGUAUGUGAAGCGAAACAGUCUUUUCUUCAAGUGGAGCUUAUUUUGACUGUUUUUCUUCAAAAAAUUUUCUUCAAGUGCCACCCACAACUUAUUUGCAGAAGUCUCCUUUGAAAAAGCAUACCUCUGCUCUCGAGAAAGGCAUGAUCGAAUUGUGCCACAUGCCAACCGAUUGAUCGCCUUCCAAUCUUUCUCCUGUACAUCAUCUGGUUUCUCUUCAUCAAUGGCAAUGUCUAGACCCUGCUAAAAAAGGGCAUCUAGAACCUCACUUUGCCACAUACCAAAAUGACCCGUACCAUCAAAGAUCUCCACGGCCAAUCUUGCAUUUGCAAUUGUCAGUCUUGUCCACAUGGACGAUGUUGAAGCUCCUACACCGACCGUUUUCUCCAUAAUCUUUCAAUAUACCUAAGGAAAUCUUUUCUGAUGUGGAAGAUCAGUUUAAACUGCAACCACAGAGCAUACUACGAUUAACCUUCGGCUCUGAUACCACUUGUUGUUCCAAUAGGGUCGGAAGCGUGUAAAUUAUUGUACUAAAAAAUCACACAAAGUUCAAUUCCCAUGGAAGAGAGGUGGAUCACAUGGAUCUCUUAAAUACCAAGUCUUUCCUUAGACAGAAUAUCCCUUCUAUAGUAAUUUAAUAGCACAAUUAAAUACUACUAUUAUACCCUCAAAUAUUGAAAGAAAAAUAGGACAAGAAAGAACACAAGAGUUUUAACGAGGUUCGGUAAAUUAUACCUACGUCCUCGGGCACUAACACCAGAUGAUAACUUUA
rnacentral:lncRNA from 1 species